rnacentral:rRNA from 1 species
GAGUUUGAUCCUGGCUCAGAGCGAACGUUAGCGGCGGGCUUAACACAUGCAAGUCGAACGGACGUAGCAAUACGUUAGUGGCGCACGGGUGAGUAACGCGUGGAUAUCUGCCUUUUGGUUCGGGAUAACCUUGGGAAACUAGGGCUAAUACCGAAUGGUUCCUACGGGAUAAAGAUUUAUCGCCAAAAGAUGAGUCCGCGUCCGAUUAGCUAGUUGGUGGGGUAACGGCCCACCAAGGCGACGAUCGGUAGCUGGUCUGAGAGGACGAUCAGCCACACUGGGACUGAGACACGGCCCAGACUCCUACGGGAGGCAGCAGUGGGGAAUAUUGGACAAUGGGGGCAACCCUGAUCCAGCCAUGCCGCGUGAGUGAUGAAGGCCUUCGGUUGUAAGCUCUUUUGGCGGGACGAUGAUGACGGUACCCGCACGAAUAAGACCCCGGCUAACUUCGUGCCAGCCGCCG